GACGAACGCUGGCGGCGCGCUUAACACAUGCAAGUCGAGCGAGAACCAGGGCUUCGGCCCUGGGGACAGCGGCGAACGGGUGAGUAACACGUGGGUAAUCUGCCCUCGGUUCUGGGAUAGCCCGGGGAAACCCGGAUUAAUACCGGAUGGCCUCUCGAGCUUUCGGGCACGAGAGAAAAGGUAGCUUCGGCCUCCGACCGAGGAUGAGCCCGCGGCCGAUUAGCUUGUUGGCGGGGUAACGGCCCACCAAGGCGACGAUCGGUAGCUGGUCUGAGAGGGCGACCGGCCACACUGGGACUGAGACACGGCCCAGACUCCUACGGGAGGCAGCAGUGGGGAAUCUUGCGCAAUGGGCGAAAGCCUGACGCAGCGACGCCGCGUGAGGGAUGACGGCCUC
rnacentral:rRNA from 1 species